rnacentral:rRNA from 1 species
AGUGAACGCUGGCGGUAGGCCUAACACAUGCAAGUCGAACGGCAGCACAGUAAGAGCUUGCUCUUACGGGUGGCGAGUGGCGGACGGGUGAGGAAUACAUCGGAAUCUACUUUUUCGUGGGGGAUAACGUAGGGAAACUUACGCUAAUACCGCAUACGACCUACGGGUGAAAGCAGGGGAUCUUCGGACCUUGCGCGAUUGAAUGAGCCGAUGUCGGAUUAGCUAGUUGGCGGGGUAAAGGCCCACCAAGGCGACGAUCCGUAGCUGGUCUGAGAGGAUGAUCAGCCACACUGGAACUGGGACACGGUCCAGACUCCGACGGGAGGCAGCAGUGGGGAAUAUUGGACAAGGGGCGCAAGCCUAAUCCAGCCAUACCGCGUGGGUGAGGAAGACCUUCGGGUUGUAAAGCCCUUUUGUUGGGAAAGAAAAGCAGCAGGUUAAUACCCCGCUGUUCUGACGGUACCCGAAGAAUAAGCACCGGCUAACUACGUG